rnacentral:rRNA from 1 species
GAUGAACGCUGGCGGCGUGCCUAAUACAUGCAAGUCGAGCGAAUGGAUUAAGAGCUUGCUCUUAUGAAGUUAGCGGCGGACGGGUGAGUAACACGUGGGUAACCUGCCCAUAAGACUGGGAUAACUCCGGGAAACCGGGGCUAAUACCGGAUAACAUUUUGAACCGCAUGGUUCGAAAUUGAAAGGCGGCUUCGGCUGUCACUUAUGGAUGGACCCGCGUCGCAUUAGCUAGUUGGUGAGGUAACGGCUCACCAAGGCAACGAUGCGUAGCCGACCUGAGAGGGUGAUCGGCCACGCUGGGACUGAGACACGGCCCAGACUCCUACGGGAGGCAGCAGUAGGGAAUCUUCCGCAAUGGACGAAAGUCUGACGGAGCAACGCCGCGUGAGUGAUGAAGGCUUUCGGGUCGUAAAACUCUGUCGUUAGGGAAGAACAAGUGCUAGUUGAAUAAGCUGACACCUUGACGGUACCUAACCAGAAAGCCACGGCUAACUACGUGCCAGCCGCCGCAGUAA